AUUGAACGCUGGCGGCAGGCCUAACACAUGCAAGUCGAACGAGUGGCGGACGGGUGAGUAAUGUCUGGGACACUGCCUGAUGGAGGGGGAUAAAUACUGGCAACGGUAGCUAAUACCGCAUACCCUCGGAUGUGCCCAGAUGGGAUUAGUUAGUAGGUGGGGUAAAUGCUCACCUAGCCGACGAUCCCUACCUGGUCUGAGAGUAUGACCAGCCACACUGGAACUGAGACACGGUCCAGACUCCAACGAGAGGCAGCAGUGGGGAAUAUUGCACAAUGGGCGCAAGCCUGAUGCAGCCAUGCCGCGUGGGUGAAGAAGGCCUUCGGGUUGUAAAGCACUUUCAGCGGGGAGGCGUUACCCGCAGAAGAAGCACCAGCUAACUCCGUGCCAGCAGCCGCGGUAAUUC
rnacentral:rRNA from 1 species